rnacentral:lncRNA from 1 species
CCCUUCUACAUCCAUCAAGUUUCCUUGAACAACACAAACAUAUCAUACCUCGGCUUAUUAAUGCCUUAAGCAUCAGUAGCUACUUGCCCAAACUCGUUGAGCUCCCUCCAUUUAACCUUAAAAUAAAAAAACCUCCUCCAAGGUUUAAUUUUAAUGCCUAAAAUGAGGAGCAGAGGUUUAUGAUUAGAGCCUACAGAGUCCUCACAAAUAA